CGGACGGGUGAGUAACGCGUGAGAAUCUGCCUUCAGGUCGGGGACAACCACUGGAAACGGUGGCUAAUACCGGAUAUGCCGCAACGUGAAAGAUUUAUCGCCUGAAGAGGAGCUCGCGUCUGAUUAGCUAGUUGGUGGGGUAAAAGCUCACCAAGGCGACGAUCAGUAGCUGGUCUGAGAGGAUGAUCAGCCACACUGGGACUGAGACACGGCCCAGACUCCUACGGGAGGCAGCAGUGGGGAAUUUUCCGCAAUGGGCGAAAGCCUGACGGAGCAAGACCGCGUGAGGGAGGAAGGCUCUUGGGUUGUAAACCUCUUUUCUCAGGGAAGAACAAAAUGACGGUACCUGAGGAAUCAGCCUCGGCUAACUCCGUGCCAGCAGCCGCGGUAAUACGGAGGAGGCAAGCGUUAUCCGGAAUUAUUGGGCGUAAAGCGUCCGCAGGUGGCACUUCAAGUCUGUCGUCAAAGACUGGGGCUUAACCCUGGAAAGGCGGUGGAAACUGAAGCGCUAGAGUGUGGUAGGGGUAGAGGGAAUUCCCGGUGUAGCGGUGAAAUGCGUAGAGAUCGGGAAGAACAUCGGUGGCGAAAGCGCUGUACUGGACCACAACUGACACUCAGGGACGAAAGCUAGGGAAGGGAAUGGGAUUAGAUACCCCAGUAGUC
rnacentral:rRNA from 1 species